GCCCGGAUGGUCUAGUGGUAAGCUUUAUCCAAUCAUGCGAGAGGUCCCGCGUUCGAAUCGCGGUUCGGGCC